AAAGGUGAAAAGCACCCCGGGAGGGGAGUGAAAUAGAACCUGAAACCGUGUGCCUACAACAAGUUCGAGCCCGUUAAUGGGUGAGAGCGUGCCUUUUGUAGAAUGAACCGGCGAGUUACGAUAUGAUGCGAGGUUAAGUUGAAGAGACGGAGCCGUAGGGAAACCGAGUCUUAAUAGGGCGCAUUAGUAUCAUGUCGUAGACCCGAAACCAUGUGACCUACCCAUGAGCAGGUUGAAGGUGAGGUAAAACUCACUGGAGGACCGAACCAGGGCACGUUGAAAAGUGCUUGGAUGACUUGUGGGUAGCGGAGAAAUUCCAAACGAACUUGGAGAUAGCUGGUUCUCUCCGAAAUAGCUUUAGGGCUAGCGUCGAUGUUAAGUCUCUUGGAGGUAGAGCACUGUUUGGGUGAGGGGUCCAUCCCGGAUUACCAAUCUCAGAUAAACUCCGAAUGCCAACGAGAUAUAAUCGGCAGUCAGACUGCGAGUGCUAAGAUCCGUAGUCGAAAGGGAAACAGCCCAGACCACCAGCUAAGGUCCCAAAAUAUAUGUUAAGUGGAAAAGGAUGUGGGGUUGCACAGACAACUAGGAUGUUAGCUUAGAAGCAGCUAUUCAUUCAAAGAGUGCGUAAUAGCUCACUAGUCGAGUGACCCUGCGCCGAAAAUGUACCGGGGCUAAAACAUAUUACCGAAGCUGUGGAUACCUUUAUAGGUAUGGUAGGAGAGCGUUCUAUGUGCGAAGAAGGUGUACCGUGAGGAGUGCUGGAGCGCAUAGAAGUGAGAAUGCCGGUAUGAGUAGCGAAAGACAGGUGAGAAUCCUGUCCACCGUAAGACUAAGGUUUCCAGGGGAAGGCUCGUCCGCCCUGGGUUAGUCGGGACCUAAGGAGAGACCGAAAGGUGUAUCCGAUGGACAACAGGUUGAUAUUCCUGUACUAGAGUAUAUAGUGAUGGAGGGACGCAGUAGGCUAACUAAACCAGACGAUUGGAAGUGUCUGGCCAAGCAGUGAGGUGUGAUAUGAGUCAAAUGCUUAUAUCUUUAACAUUGAGCUGUGAUGGGGAGCGAAGUUUAGUAGCGAAGUUAGUGAUGUCACACUGCCGAGAAAAGCUUCUAGCGUUAAUUAUACUCUACCCGUACCGCAAACCGACACAGGUAGUCGAGGCGAGUAGCCUCAGGUGAGCGAGAGAACUCUCGUUAAGGAACUCGGCAAAAUGGCCCCGUAACUUCGGGAGAAGGGGCGCUGACUUAUGGUCAGCCGCAGUGAAUAGGCCCAAGCAACUGUUUAUCAAAAACACAGCUCUCUGCUAAAUCGUAAGAUGAUGUAUAGGGGGUGACGCCUGCCCGGUGCUGGAAGGUUAAGAGGAGUGCUUAGCGUAAGCGAAGGUAUGAAUUGAAGCCCCAGUAAACGGCGGCCGUAACUAUAACGGUCCUAAGGUAGCGAAAUUCCUUGUCGGGUAAGUUCCGACCCGCACGAAAGGCGUAAUGAUUUGGGCACUGUCUCAACGAGAGACUCGGUGAAAUUUUAGUACCUGUGAAGAUGCAGGUUACCCGCGACAGGACGGAAAGACCCCAUGGAGCUUUACUGCAGUUUGAUAUUGAGUAUCUGUACCACAUGUACAGGAUAGGUAGGAGCCUAUGACCUCGGGACGCCAGUUUCGAGUGAGGCGUUGUUGGGAUACUACCCUUGUGUUAUGGCUACUCUAACCCAGAUAGGUUAUCCCUAUCGGAGACAGUGUCUGACGGGCAGUUUGACUGGGGCGGUCGCCUCCUAAAAGGUAACGGAGGCGCCCAAAGGUUCCCUCAGAAUGGUUGGAAAUCAUUCGCAGAGUGUAAAGGUAUAAGGGAGCUUGACUGCGAGAGCUACAACUCGAGCAGGGACGAAAGUCGGGCUUAGUGAUCCGGUGGUUCCGUAUGGAAGGGCCAUCGCUCAACGGAUAAAAGCUACCCUGGGGAUAACAGGCUUAUCUCCCCCAAGAGUUCACAUCGACGGGGAGGUUUGGCACCUCGAUGUCGGCUCGUCGCAUCCUGGGGCUGUAGUCGGUCCCAAGGGUUGGGCUGUUCGCCCAUUAAAGCGGCACGCGAGCUGGGUUCAGAACGUCGUGAGACAGUUCGGUCCCUAUCCGUCGCGGGCGUAGGAAAUUUGAGAGGAUCUGCUCCUAGUACGAGAGGACCAGAGUGGACUUACCGCUGGUGUACCAGUUGUUCUGCCAAGAGCAUCGCUGGGUAGCUAUGUAGGGAAGGGAUAAACGCUGAAAGCAUCUAAGUGUGAAGCCCACCUCAAGAUGAGAUUUCCCAUGAUUUUAUAUCAGUAAGAGCCCUGAGAGAUGAUCAGGUUGAUAGGUUAGAAGUGGAAGUGUGGUGACACAUGUAGCGGACUAAUACUAAUAGCUCGAGGACUUAUCCAA
rnacentral:rRNA from 1 species